GGCCUUUCUUCUCUGGACUCUGCAUGAAUAAGUGGCUUCCUUCUAACUGACACAUUGUGCCAGGUGAUCGACUCUACAGAGAAUAGAAUUCUGGUAUAUCUACACUUCAAACAAGUGUACAAUGGAAGAAUGGCCUCCUCAAAACCCCAAAUAGCUGAAUCGGGCCAAUUAGUAGGAUUAUUGCAAAGACCAGACAUUUAUCAGGACCCUUUUGCAGAAACACAUGUGGGGCUGUAAGCGAUGCAUUUCCUGGCUUCUGACAUGAGCUAAACAUCUGUUCAAGGCAAGGCUGUAAUGAAACUGGAGGUUCUUUUGUAGGUCCCAAGGCAUCUGAGAGUGGAGAGUGAUUGGACUCCGGUGAAGACUCCAAGAUGGCGAUCGUCACCUCGGAUACCCUGACUCAGCAUUUCCGGGUUCACCUUUCCUGUUCCCGCCACCCCGACUAACGCGCAUACCCACUAGGGCGUGUCACACUGAGAAGUGCGAAACUCAACCGACCCCGCCCCUACCCCGCCCACUCCUCACCCAGCAUCCAUAAAAGCGCGCUGCCCCUUUGGCACAGCGCGACUUCCCUGGCCCUCCCCCUGCGGACCAGUGAACGUCGCCCGAGAGCUCAAUAAAGAAGAUUUUU
rnacentral:lncRNA from 1 species